rnacentral:rRNA from 1 species
CCAGACUCCUACGGGAGGCAGCAGUGGGGAAUAUUGCACAAUGGGGGAAACCCUGAUGCAGCAACGCCGCGUGAGUGAAGAAGUCAUUCAUGAUGUAAAGCUCUAUCAGCAGGGAAGAAAAUGACGGUACCUGAGUAAGAAGCCCCGGCUAACUACGUGCCAGCAGCCGCGGUAAUACGUAGGGGGCAAGCGUUAUCCGGAUUUACUGGGUGUAAAGGGGGCGCAGACGGCAAUGCAAGCCAGGAGUGAAAGCCCGGGGCCCAACCCCGGGACUGCUCUUGGAACUGCAUGGCUGGAGUACAGGAGGGGCAGGCGGAAUCCCUAGUGUAGCGGUGAAAUGCGUAGAUAUUAGGAGGAACACCGGUGGCGAAGGCGGCCUGCUGGACUGUGACUGACGUUGAGGCCCGAAGGCGUGGGGAGCAAACAGGAUUAGAUACCCCAGUACC